AAUCCGUCAAUCGUCUAAAAGUGUUUAUAGAACACAAUUCGCUUGUUAUAAUUGCAUUUUACUUCUCAUUUCGUUUUUAAAGGCAACGAAAACAAAUUAUAAAAAUUGAAAUUUCCAAUCGUAUCGGUAGUUAUUUAUAAACGACUUUAUGAAGACGACCAUAUAAUGUUAAUCAGCUCAAAUGUGCCCUGAUAAGCUAAAAGUAAGUCAGUUCAGAAGCAGCAGCCGACUUCAACUGUAGAGGAGUCGGCAGCUUCUGCUAUAGAGGAGGUGACGGCUCCUACUAUGGAAGACGGUAGCUUCAGCAAUAGAGGAGGAGACGGCUUCUACUAUGGAGGACGGUGGCUUCAGCAAUAGACGAAACGUCAGCUCGAACUAUAGAGGAGGAGGAGGUGGCCUUAAGGCCACGGAGACUAUUCUUUAAGUAAUGCAGGAGACGGCAGCUUCUACUAUGGGGGAUGCGACAGCUUUAUCAAAAGAGGAGUUGAUAGAUUGAAAAGAUUGAUUGUGAUGUGAUUAUAUAAAAGUUCGUCUCCCGCCUACCGAUUGAUGACGAUAAAAUAAUGUUGCGUGUGAAUUAACAGAGUUCUGGGAGGAGUUGGCCGCUUAUCAGUGGCCAGAAUGGGCCCUAUCAUAAUUGCAGGCAGACGUCGCGUCGCGCUGAUGUCAAUGAAACAGUUUUUCACAUUUUCAAACUACUCCGCCCCUCUCUCUCUCUCUCUAUCACCCUGUCUCUAUCGAGGGUUUCGAGCACAAGUGAAAAACGUGAUCAGCUCGUGUUCGUGCGGCUUCAGGCGAACCACAAACAAGGCCUGGGUCUUUAAAUAGACGUAGAGUCGCGUCGUACAUUUCUAUAUUUGCAUAAUAAAUCGCAUAAUUAAGUUUCAAGCGGGAGCUACAAUGGAAAAUUACGCGGCAAAAUUACGCGAUGCAAAACAACAUAUAUUAAUCGAUCAUCGGUUGCAUUUUCUAAGCGCCUAUUCCAUUGACCCUCACCCAACGAUAACAGUUUUUCAAACGAUUUUUCAAAUGAUUAUAAGGUUAUACAAUUUCUAGUAUGGGGCUUUUUAUAUAUAUGCAUGUAUGUAUUGCAGUUAGCUGUAAUAUAUUCCAUUUCCCUUAUGCAUUGAAGCGAAUUUGCAACAGUUUUCUUCUUCUCUUUUAUGCGAGAUCUGUUGCCAAAUAAUUGAUCACGCCGCGAUCAGGUGCUCUAGGUCAGUAACGGCAUGAUUUUCGUCCGCCAAAAAUAAACCCAGCUAUAUUUAUGAAUUUUGUGUUUAGUUUAUGCUGCGCAGUUUAUCAGCUGCCCUUGCCCCCGCCCCAAACAACGACCCCCGUCCCAGUCUGCGCAUCAAGAUCGCGCCUGCAUUGAUAAGAACUGAGUCGCACGCCUCGUUUCUAAAUUUAAACCUUCGGGCGGGUUUACUUAUGUCUACUACAAAUACUAUAUAAUAUAUGCUAGGCAUAUGCUAAGUAUUUUCUAGCUAAACAGCCACAAGUCGUAGAUACGCCCAUUUUUUGCUGUUCCUAAAUAGAGUACAUAAUCGCUGAUAAUCUUUUCACUUUUGGCGCCGCUGAUGUUGCUGAUAUUGGCAGCUCGGCUGAUUUCGUCAGCUUGUUGUUGCUAUUGCCCAGCUGACUAGCUGCCCCCCAGUUCUCGGGUCCAGACCCUAUCCCAGACGACGUUGCGCGUUUAUUUUUGUACACUGCAUUUGGCUUGGCUUCCAGGCAUGACAAAGUCGAGGGCAAAACGUGGCGAUUUUGUUCCCUAGAAGAAGUGUGUGUUAACAUCAGUUAUUAGAUGCAAUUCACGCACUCAACGAAUGAUACAAUUUUGUAAUAUUAUAAAAUAUCAAUUUCGUACAUAUUCCAUGUGUGAGUUUGAGUUCUGCGAAACAUUGCAUGGUUCACAACUGCUUCAAAAUUCAUUCAUAGACAUAACACUCGGCCAAAGAUCAAAAUACCAACUUGUUUAAGUUCAGAUUACACUAUAAGUCGUAACUAGACUUUGAUAGAAAGCUAUAGUUUUUGGAUAAUAUACUUUAUCACUGGAUCUGUGUUCCAUCCCACCCAGCCAAAAAAGGAAAGUCGUCAAUUAAAUAAUGCAUCACAUCCGCUGCUCGGAUCACACAUGAAAAUUAUAACAGAAAUAGACAGACAGCUGGCUAUAAGACAUAAAUAUAAAUAUUUUAGUGAAAUAUUUGCAGUUUUUCAAGUGCGCUUCAUAAUCGAGUCUGAGGAUUGUGACUGCUGCACAUGGCCAACGCUUCAAAGGGCACUGCACCAAGAUAGCAUCAAGGUGGAGAGAGAGAGAAAGGAAGAUCACCCUGAGUAGGGGGCUAGUCGAGUCUAUGUGCAUAUAUAGUAUAGUAUAUAUAGGCAAAUGUUGAUGGAGUGGCCGGCAAAAACGCGACAAGCCACUCCAGAAACGAAGCAGCGUUAAACCGGCUCUUAGCCAAGGCAAUCGGGUGGUGGUCAGGAAGGAGCAGCGACUAGGUGAACAAGUGCCGACCAGCCGGCCGGCCGGCACAUCUGCGCAGCGCACUCUGAAACCGGCCUGAGAGAUGCUGUGAGCCCCAAAAGCAAAUAAGUUACUUGGACUUGGAGUAGCGUGUGUGUUGCGUGCUCGUAUUUCCCCUACCCAAGUGCCACCCAAUGAAAGUGGCACAGUGGUUACGGAUCAAUCGAAACACUUGAACAAACUUGUUGGACCCUUCAUCCAAAAAUGCAUUAUCAUAAGAGACAGAUCACGCAUUGUGAGAGCAUUUCUCGUCUACCUAAGGCCCGACUAAGACCUACGCCGCCAUUUCUGAAUGUCAACGAGUCACGCACGCCACACACAAAUACACACACGGGCACACACACACAGACACACUUUCUAUGCACCAGACAAGAAAAACACUCAGACCCAUACGAUGCGUGGCGGAGAAUGUCGACAAUUUCCCAGAGUUGUCGUCGUCAUCUAUCUGAUGAUGUGGGUAAUACAAAUGAAAACGCUCGUAAGUCCCUUUAUGUGGUAUUUUUAAUGGGUUCAUUGGAUAAAUUAAUAGCUAAUAGAAAUAUUAUAUUAUAAAAGUUGGAAUACAAUUAUUUAUUUAUAUACGUAGACAUCGAUUUGCUUUUUACUCCUAAAUCCCACUUGGAUCAGAUAAUUGAUUUAAAUAUAAAAAUUGUGAUAUAAUUUCUUUAUAAUUCAACACUUGUCAUGCCUUUAGCGCAACCGAUAUGCUUGCUGAAUUUAAACGUAGCGCAUGAGAAAGUCGAUGAAAAAAACCAGAUUACACAGCGACAACUUUUACACAAUUCCCCCCAAAAGCAUAAUUGAUUUAGAGCUGUCGACUCGACAAAGACAAUGUAUGACAAACAUAAAUUGCAUAAAGAAAAGCGUAGGCUGUAAAGGUGUUUGGGUUACCGAUUGCAGCUAAGUAUAAGCCCCAAACCUUAUAAAGAGAAACCACUCAAACGACUCGAACCAUAAGACGUCAGCAAGUUGUUGUAGACACUCAAACGAAUGAGUGGGUACUCGUUCGGUGAGUUUUUUCUAUGGGCAUGGCUAAGGAUGCAAGAUUAAAGCAAAUAAGAAGGAUGCAAUAAAUAAAUAGCAUACAAAAUCAGCUGCCUUAAGUCGUAGACGUAGAUGCUGAUCGCACGGAAAGUUGUUUGACAAAACAUAGAAUACAUGUGUGAAUACUUGUACGACUAUUCGCAUUUAUUAAUAAAACGAAUGCCCAAAAUGAUCGCACGCGCUAAUGAUCGUACGCUGAUCAUGUCCAUCCAGCCUGACACAUUAAGUGGCUUUGGCUCUGAGGCGCCAUCUAAACCUAACGAAAAUCGCAACUAAACCAGACGAACUUAACUAAACUGAAUGCCAACAACAACUAUCGCUGCACUAUCAUUAAAAUGCAGCCACACUCAGCGUAGAGGGAAUGCGAGGCAGAGAGUGGAUGAGAGAGAGAGAGUGUGCGAGCGCCUUCCAGACCAUACGACGAUCGUACUGUAACGCCGCUCUCUGGGUUCGUGCGGACUGUGGCUGGUGGUGGCCUGAGUCGUUGGGUUGGCCGUUAGCAGUCUUGACGGCGAGUUGCUGUAGCAGCGACAGUUUAUUCGUCUCUGAGUCGUCGAGGCGAACGGUACUCACAGCCGGAUUGCAACAGGCAACAACAAAACGCGAUGCGGUCCUAAUUAUUCGUGUCGUUAAAGCAAAAUACUAAAAAUAACAUCAAAUCAUAUAUAACCACAAAAGAAGAAAAGAAAAGAAAAAACGCGCGAAUUUUUAUUUGUAAAAGAAAAAGGAAUAUAAA